AUAUCACCCAUGUGUAGGCAUAAUUGAAAAUCUUGCUAAUAAUGAUUGAUAAUAAUAUAUGCAAUGAUGCCAUAAUAACUUUACUAAAUUAAAACAGUAGGCAAGCAUAGCCUCAUGAAAUUUCAUUAUUUGCAAGUUACAUCCUUUCUUAAUUAUUAUGCAGAUAAACACCAGCUGGCUAAUAGGGGUACAGAGUAUCUUCGCUAAUUAUUAGUGCAUCAAAGCAAGAAAAUGAUCUAUUUGCAAAUCAUUUUCUGCGCUGCUUCAUGUAUUUCUCCCUCUUUUAACUUUAUCGACGAAGGCGUUCAGUACAAACAAUUUAAAGACCACAAAGGCAAGAUAACCAUAGCCAAAUAAAAAAGACCACAGUACAAGAAAAACCACAUCUUCAUUUCCACAGACAAAUAAAAAAAGACCCAGAGAGUUCAAACAAUUCAAAGACUACAAAGGCAAGAUACAACAGUUAGGCUCCUAAUGAAUGAUUAACAAUCCCCUGAAGGGAAGGUCUAAAAUGCAAAUUUUCUUGUGUUAAGCAACUAGUUUCACAGGAUACUUAUCUAUACAGUCUUCCCAAGGACCAUUACGAGAUUGUUUCACAUUCCGGAGUGCCUCCCACACUGCACUGUUACAUUUGAAGCCACUUCCGAAUGCAAUCUGCCACACACGGUUACCCUUGCGCAUCCUUCUUUUGGCCUCAACAUAGGCCAACUCGUACCAAAUCGAACUUGAUGAAGUAUUCCCAAAACGGUGGAGUGUCAUCCUAGAUGCCUCCACAUGUACAGGCAGGAGCUGCAAAUUCUUCUCUAGCUCAUCAAUCACAGCCCUCCCUCCAGCAUGUAUACAAAAAUGAUCAAAUGCCAGCUUGAAAUCUGGAAUAUAAGGCUUCAUUUUCUUGUUGAACAACUUCUUAACCACCAGAGUUGCAAAGAACAAAAGUUGCUCACUAAUUGGAAGCACCAGAGGACCCAGCGUAGUAAUGUUCGCUUUUAAAGCCUCACCAGCAAUUGCCAUCAAAUCUUUUGACAAUGAAACACCAGUCUUCCCUGCAUCGUCCUGUUCUUGAUACACACACCGAAACGCCUUAUCAUCUGCCCCGCGAUGAGUCCUCACAACAUGAACAAGCUUGUACUUAGCCCGCUUUUUAUCACCAGAUCUAUUAGAAAGCAAAACCGCAGAACCCCCAACUCGAAACAAACAAUUGGGUAUCAACAUAGACUUCUUAUUUCCAAAAUACCAAUUCUGGGUAAUAUUCUCGGUACUGACAACAACUGCAUAAGUAUUCCGAUGAACUUGCAACAAAUCUUUAGCGAGAUCCACCGCAAUAACUCCAGCACUACAACCCAUCCCUCCCAGAUUGAAACUCCUAAUAUUACCCCUGAGUUUAUACUUAUUCACAAUCAUAGCAGAAAGUGAUGGUGUUGGGUUAAACAAACUACAAUUCACAACAAGAAUGCCAAUAUUCUUUGGAUUCACAUUAGUGUUAGCAAACAGAUUAUCCAAAGCACCAAACAUGACCUGCUCAGCCUCCUCCCUGGCGGCAGCCAUGGACGGCCUCGGAGGAAUAUAAGUCAUAGCUUCAGGAACAUAAGUCUCCUCUCCCAGCCCAGAACGCUCCAAAAUCUUACGCUGGAACUCGAGCGAUGACUCGUCAAAAUCUCCAGUGAGCCUAGAGUGCUCCAUGAAGCGGUCAAAUGGAGCCUUGAGAUUAUCGGGGGCACGAAAACAAGCAUAAUCGACCAAAUAAACGGGUCUAGGUCGGGUCAUAAUGUAAACGGUUAAACCGAAAACGAGAAAAGCAGAGCAGAUAAUGAUGCUAACGAGAUUAUACUGAAGGUGGAGCCAGAGGUGACGGAGAUCAUCGAGAUUCAUUUGGGAGGCUUCGAUUGAGGUAAUUAUCAUCAAAGGAAUGAAGCACAAGGUCAAUAGAUUAGAGAUUAGAUAGUGGUAGCCUAGUUUGACAUACUUGAGAUUCACGCUCUGCAAGAAAUCUGGAAGCCGUCGGGUUUGGUGGAUCCGAAUCUCGCCGCCGGAGUCCAUGGCUGCGGCUCUGCAAGAUUAUUCUAUUCACCGGAAGCUGUUAAAACUGGACGCUUUUGGUAGUAUUAUAACACUAAUGUGAAUAUUUAAAGGAGAAUACAAGAAGAGAAGACCAAGAAGAGAGAGUUUGUGUGGGAUAUGACUUCUGGCUUUUGGGUU
rnacentral:misc_RNA from 1 species